GGUGGUUUCAGGUAGUGGUUACUACAGUAGAGGUGGUUUCAGGUAGUGGUUACUACAGUAGAGGUGGUUUCUGGUACUGGUUACUAUGGUAGAGGUGGUUUCUGGUAGUGGUUACUACGGUAGAGGUGGUUACUACAGUAGAGGUGGUUUCAGGUAGUGGUUACUACAGUAGAGGUGGUUUCUGGUAGUGGUUACUACAGUAGAGGUGGUUUCAGGUAGUGG